UGGGAUGUAGCUCAGUGGUAGAGUGUAUGCUUAGCGUGUGCAAGGUCCUGGGUUCCAUUCCCGGCACCUCAC
rnacentral:tRNA from 1 species